rnacentral:rRNA from 1 species
GUGCCAGCCGCCGCGGUAAUACCGGCAGCCCGAGUGAUGACCGAUCUUAUUGGGCCUAAAGCGUCCGUAGCUGGCUACGCAAGUCCGUCGGGAAAUCCACUCGCCCAACGAGUGGGCGUCCGACGGAAACUGCAUAGCUUGGGACCGGAAGGCUCGAAGGGUACGUGCGGGGUAGGAGUGAAAUCCCAUAAUCCCGCACGGACCACCGAUGGUGAAAGCGCCUCGGGAAGACGGACCCGACAGUGAGGGACGAAAGCUGGGAUCUCGAACCGGAUUAGAUACCCCAGUAGUCC